rnacentral:rRNA from 1 species
CGCGCAGGCGGCCGACGUAGUCAGGCGUGAAAGCCCCGGGCUUAACCUGGGAAUUGCGUUUGAUACUCGUUGGCUAGAGUUCGGGAGAGGAUGGUGGAAUUCCCAGUGUAGAGGUGAAAUUCGUAGAUAUUGGGAAGAACACCGGUGGCGAAGGCGGCCAUCUGGACCGAAACUGACGCUGAGGCGCGAAAGCGUGGGGAGCAAACAGGAUUAGAUACCCUGGUAGUCCACGCCGUAAACGAUGUGUGCUAGACGUUGGCGGACCUAGUUCGCCAGUGUCGCAGCUAACGCGUUAAGCACACCGCCUGGGGAGUACGGCCGCAAGGUUAA